ACCUUACCAAAUCUUGACAUCCUCUGACCCCUCUAGAGAUAGAGUUUUCCCCUUCGGGGGACAGAGUGACAGGUGGUGCAUGGUUGUCGUCAGCUCGUGUCGUGAGAUGUUGGGUUAAGUCCCGCAACGAGCGCAACCCUUAAGCUUAGUUGCCAUCAUUAAGUUGGGCACUCUAAGUUGACUGCCGGUGACAAACCGGAGGAAGGUGGGGAUGACGUCAAAUCAUCAUGCCCCUUAUGAUUUGGGCUACACACGUGCUACAAUGGACAAUACAAAGGGCAGCGAAACCGCGAGGUCAAGCAAAUCCCAUAAAGUUGUUCUCAGUUCGGAUUGUAGUCUGCAACUCGACUAUAUGAAGCUGGAAUCGCUAGUAAUCGUAGAUCAGCAUGCUACGGUGAAUACGUUCCCGG
rnacentral:rRNA from 1 species